CCUACGGGCGGCAGCAGUGAGGAAUAUUGGUCAAUGGGCGGGAGCCUGAACCAGCCAAGCCGCGUGAGGGAAGAAGGUACAGCGUAUCGUAAACCUCUUUUGUCAGGGAACAAAGGCGGGGACUAGUCCCCGGAUGAGGGUACCUGAAGAAAAAGCAUAGGCUAACUCCGUGCCAGCAGCCGCGGUAAUCCGGGGGAUGCGAGCGUUAUCCGGAUUUAUUGGGUUUAAAGGGUGCGCAGGGGGCCUGUUAAGUCAGCGGUAAAAGCCCGGGGCUAAACCCCGGCGAGCCGUUGAAACUGGCGGGCUGGAGUUGGGGAGAGGUACGCGGAAUGCGCGGUGGAGCGGUGAAAUGCUUAGAGAUCGCGCAGAACACCGAUUGCGAAGGCAGCGUACCGGCUCCAAACUGACGCUGAGGCACGAAAGCGUGGGUAUCGAACAGGAUUAGAUACCCUUGUAGUC
rnacentral:rRNA from 1 species